AUGGCUGCAACAAUGCUGCUGAAGAUCGACCCAGGUGAGCCGGCGUCGCUCCACCGCCCGCCCUGCCCCUCCCGGCCUGGCGUUGCUGCGGGCUCUGCCGCGAACGGCGGCUCCCGCAUCGCCCCUCCCGCAGGCCCUGUGCUGUCUGCCCUGAGAAUCACAAUAAAUGCCCUCCCGGUGCACAAUCCCCCUCAUCCCUGCGCCUCAUCUUGGAGCGUGAGCGACGCAGAGCCGCCGGUACGGGGCUCUGACCCGACCCUCCUCACUCUCCGCCGGGCGGUUCCUCACCUUCGCCAGAGCCCAGAACAACGUGGGGAGGGGGGAGUUUAUUCAAACACGGCAACGAUUUUGUAUUUAAACGGCACCGAACAACGGAAACGGAGGCGGGUAAAACGGAAAGUCUCGGAUUUGCGGAGCAGCCUCCCCGUACCGCCGCUGGCGGGGAUGUCGCCCCUGCCCCACUCUGGCCAACCAGCGUGGCCGGGACCGGGCACGGGCAGCUCCCGCCUGGCGAGUAUCCCGUCCCCCCGAGCAAGGGCCGCGCCGCCCCACUCCCUCACGGCCCGGACCCCCGCGCCCCACGUACCUCCCCCGGCCCGGCACGGCCCGUCCCGCUCCCGGGGCAGCGGCCAAGAUGGCGGCGAGGCCCGGCGGCGGCGCGGGGCCGCCCCCCGGCGGAGGCGAAGGCGGCCGGGGCGCUGCCUGCGCCGAGCGCCCGAGCACGGCCCCCUCCCUCCCCGGGCCCGCCGGGCCCGCUGCCGUGGCCGCCCCUCACCGCCGGUUGGCACCGCUCGGCCUCGGCGGCCGGCAGGGACCGGGAGCAGCCCCCGGGCGCUAAACCCACCCGGGCCGGCGCCGCGGCAGCGCGCGGCUGGGCAGGGACGGCGGGCGGCGCGGGCUCCGCUCCCCGCCCCGUCAGGCGCCCGGCGCGGCCGUACGUUCGUCCCGGCGCCCCCGCCCCCCGGUGGCGGUGCCGGCGCGGUCGGCGGGGCGGGCCGGGGCUGGCGGGCGGGCCGAGGGGAGCGGAGCGCGCCGCACGCCGCCCAGCGCGAAGAUGGCAGCGGGGGAGCCGCAAGCCAAGAAGCUCAAGCUGGAGCAGAAGCAGCUGAGGUAACGGGCGCCAGGACGGGCUCUGCUUCGCGAGCAGCCCCGGGGGAUGGCGGAGUGUCGCUGGUGCUGCCCCCGGCGAAGGGCGAGACACGUGCCGCCGCCGCGGUGUGGUCAGAGUCCGCCGGCAGGGUCCCGCCGCGCCGGGCUGUGCUCGGCCGGGCUGCGCUCGCG
rnacentral:lncRNA from 13 species